UCUAAUAUGGCAGAUUAGUGCAAUGAAUUUAAGCUUCAUAUAUAAAAAUUAUUUUUUUUAUUAGAA
rnacentral:tRNA from 1 species